rnacentral:tRNA from 1 species
GCGAGCGUAACUCAGUUGGUAGAGUGCCACCUUGCCAAGGUGGUCGUCGAGGGUUCGAAUCCCUUCGCUCGCUCCA